rnacentral:lncRNA from 1 species
CAAAAACCAAAUAUCAAGAAACUAACAUUUAUACUUACCCAAAUCAACAUUAAACAAUGCAACGAACACUUAUGGCCAACAACCAACAAUGACAAUGAUAAAAACCCAGGAUUAAUUUAAAGAACAAAAAUACAAUGGCCAAAAAGUGAAAAAGAAGGAGGAAACAAAAAGAAAGAGGGAAAAACGUGUGAGGGAGAAAAUGGAAAAAAAAAACUAAUAUGACUAGAAAACAGAACGUGGAAAUUUUUAAGGGAACACUUCCUAUUUUCAAAUUAAAAGUAAAUAAAUAGUUAACCUUUAAAACAAAACUAGACUUAAACCAAAACUAAAAUAACACACA